GCUAGGGAAGUUUCUUAUUUCUCCUGCUCUGACUUCCCCCUUUGAUUUAUUAUAGCCAUGAAAUGCUCUACUCUCUUCUCUUUUCCUUGCUGUCUCUUGGGGCUGGAGGAACACAGGCAUCCCUGGGCGUCCGGCCUUGGCCCGCUGCCCCCGUCUCCUCCCGAGGCCAGGGCUCCAGGGCCAGCACAGAGAGACUUGGGCCUCCCUGGACACCAGCCACCAAAGGACCAGGCCCAUCCUGCCUGCACGGAGCCAGCAGCUAUUUACAAACCGAAACCCGGAGGAGCGAAGUGGCUUCGACCCAGGCAGCUCCGGCCCCCACCCCCACUCCCACUCCAUCCCCAGCCGCCCAGCCCCUCGACGGCUUCCGCUUUCCUUCCCAGCACGGCCUCCAACCUCCUGAGGCCCACCUGGCCCUGGACAACCCACAGGCCCCUCACGGUCAUCCCCACCCCCACAACCACCUUUGGGGGUCCCCAUCUCCUUGUCCCGGGAGCUCACCCAUCUGUGCUCCCAGGAGCAGCCCCCUCUCUCGGGCCGGGCCACCCUGGCUGCCCAGCCGCAUUCCCACAGUUCUCAGUUCCCCUUUGCACCUGGAAAGGCUCCAGCCGUGGCCACCACCGCGCCCUGCUGCUGGGCCCUGCUGGACCUCCAUGGUGGACAUGUAGGGUCAAGAGAGUUGGGCCUUCACAGCUCUGGCUUACUCUGGGCUACACUCAGGGUGGCUGGCAGAAUCCGGUUCGGGAUCCCGUAUGGGCCUCGGGUCCCUGUGUGGUGCAGACUUGGCGAGACAGCGAGCAUGGGCCAGGGACACCGCAGCAGGCCCCAAAGCCAGGCAGCAGGUGACACCAGGCUGUCCUUUCGGGUUGAUGUUUCCCUCACCUCUGUCCCGAAGAGAAUGUUCACAUCUGUCUGUUCUGUGCUUGGGAAAAGCCCUUUCUCCUAUCUCUGUCAUUAAGGGGAAACUGAGGCUUGGAAAAGAAGGCAGCAUAGCUAGAAUGUCUGGACUGGGAACCUAGAAUUCAUCAGGAAAAUCUAAGCUCUCUCUGAGUACCCCCAGGUCCAUCUUGUGCCUCAGUGUCCCUGCCGGGAGGGUGGGACCUAUAAGGCAGGGACAGAGCUGCUGGAAGCUUGGCAAAAAGCUGGCCAUGCACCCCAGGGUCUCCCGCUACCCUGCCCAUCCUUCCCCUUGACACCUCCAUCGUGAGGAGUGCCCCAAGCUGGGCCCUGGCUGGCAGAGACUGGAGUCCUGGCCUGCCCUAGCCUCAGAUUCUGAGUCUGAGACGGGUGCAAACUCCAACCGCCGAUGCUGCGCCAGCACCGUGCUGGGUACCAGUGGCUCCAUGGCUAGGACUCAGCCCCUGCCCUGGGGAUCACACAGAUGGACAGGAGCAGCAGGUGAACAUGAAGUCCUAAGAACUUCCAGUGGAUGGAAAAGUCCAACGUGGUUGCUAAUCCCUGUAAUCCCAGCACCCAGGAGGCUGAGACAGGAGGAUUGCCAUAGUUUGAGGCCAACUGGGGCUAAUGAGUUCAAGGCCAGCCUGAACUAUGUAUUAAGACUCUGUCUCACCAAACAAAGAAAAGGAGGAAAGAGAGGCAUAGAUAGAGAGGUGCUCCCGUGGGAGGGCCCUGAAGGACAGGAAGGAGUUGUCCAGCAAUAGCAGUAUGGACAGGCGCUCCACGCUGAGUCACACUCUCAUGCCUUGGCUUUGAUGUUCUCAUGGCAUGGAGUCCCUUUCAUGUUCUGGGCCUGGUGAACUCCUACCCAUCCAUCAAGGCCCAUGGACACACUGUAGCAUGAGGAGGUCUGGCCUACCCUGGUGACUGCUCAGCUCCUCUUACCGCCUAGCACCUGAACAGACCUGCAGGCCAGGCCUUCCUCACCAGCUCCACCCAGGCAAGUGUCUGCUCCCGGGCUUCGGCCCCCGCCAUCCUGUGCUCCGAAAAGCACCGUUUCCCUUUUCUGGGUGACCACACGCCAUGCACAGGGAAUUUCCAUCGCUGGCUGCGGAGUCUGUGAUUCACUCAGGCCUCCAUGCAGUUAACCCCUUCCGGGCCUGGCCUCCAGAGCCAGGCAGGACCCCUGAACAGCUCUGAUCCCAGCAUCCGCCUCACUGGUCCCCACACCUCAGACGCACAGACCUGGGGCACACACAGCGGCUUUGGGAUAGGAUAAGACGGUCAAAUCCCGAUUCUGUUGAUGGCUGAUGUGUGGCCUGGGGCAGGUGGGAAUGGCUACUUGCAUUCCAUUGCUCAGCUGUAAAGUAGAGAUAAUUCCUACCCAUAAAGUUAGUGACAAGACAUUGUGCUAGAGCCAGGCAGAGAGGCUGAGGCAGGAGGAUCUGAAGUUUGAGGGCAACCUAGGCUACAUAAAGAGACACCAUCAGUGCUGGGUGUAGUGGUACAUGCUUGUCCUAUCCCUCAGGCAGGCGGAUUGCUGUGAGUUUGAGGCCCCCCAACUACAGAGUGAAGUCCUAUCUCAACAAAACAAAACAAGACAAUGUUCUGAGCCCACAGUAGGAGCUCAAGCAUCCUUUUCAUUAAAGGAUGCUGCUCACCAUAGCACAGGGUCCCCACCCCAGACCUGGCCUUCUUCCAGCAGGGAGAGAGAACUCUGGGAGGCAGCGCCCCGGAUCCGCCAUGUCCUCCAAUUCCAGCUUUCCCAGGAGGCCCUGGACAGGCCCCCACGGGCAGGUGCAUCACACACCGCUGCUUUCCCAGCUGGGUUUCAGAGCCCAGGGCACGAGCCCUGCUGUUGCCCUCAUUCUGCGAUUGUGGACACUGAGGCUUGAGCAGCCAGUGAACCUGGAGGCAGGGGCAGGAUUCACAUCUGGGCCUCAGAGCUGCUCUGCCUGGCUCUUCGGGAUGGGAACCUUUGGAGAGGUUGACAUAAGCGUGUGCACUAAUUGGGCCCCUGCUGUGUGCAGGUGAAGGCUUCAGUUCUCAGAGCAGUGCUGCCCAGCACGCCUGGCAUCUCCGCUACAGUCGAGGGGCGCUGGAGCCACAGGGGAAGGAGCUGGGAGCCACAGGGCUCAGCCGUGGGCAGAGACCCA
rnacentral:lncRNA from 1 species